UACGUAGGGGGGCUAGCGUUGUCCGGAUUUAUUGGGCGUAAAGAGCGUGUAGGCGGCCAGGUAGGUCUGCUGUGAAAACUCGAGGCUUAACCUCGAGCUGUCGGCGGAAACCAUCUGGCUAGAGUCCGGAAGAGGAGAAUGGAAUUCCCGGUGUAGCGGUGAAAUGCGCAGAUAUCGGGAAGAACACCCGUGGCGAAGGCGGUUCUCUGGGACGGUACUGACGCUGAGACGCGAAAGCGUGGGGAGCGAACAGG
rnacentral:rRNA from 1 species